rnacentral:tRNA from 1 species
GGGGUUGUGGCUCAGUGGUAGAGCGCUUGCCUAGCGUGUUUGAGGCACUGGGUUCAAGUCCCAGCACCACA